rnacentral:sRNA from 1 species
UUGUUUAUACUAUGGGAUUGGUCAAAUCUUGGUUUAAACAUAUUUCCAGGGAUCACAUGUAAAUGUGCUGAGACUUCAUCCUUGAAUGCAAGACUUGUCAGAGAGGGAAUUCCUAAGUCUCUUCUCCUUGACAGCUGGAAGAGGAGACUGAGAACAAGUUGGGAGAACUAGGCUCCUCCGCUGAGAGCAAGGGGGCCUUGAAGAAGGAGAGAGAGGUGCACCAGAAGCUCCUGGCCGACAGUCACAGCCUGGUCAUGGACUUGCGCUGGCAGAUCCAUCACAGCGAGAAGAACUGGCACCGGGAGAAGGUGGAACUUCUCGACCGCCUGGACAGAGAUCGGCAGGAGUGGGAGCGGCAGAAGAAGGAACUCUUGUGGAGGAUAGAGCAGUUGCAGAAAGAGAACAGUCCCCGGAGAGGUGGCAGUUUCCUCUGUGAUCAAAAAGACGGCAACGUUCGCCCCUUUCCCCACCAGGGAAGCCUCCACAUGCCCCGUCCUGUGGCCAUGUGGCCUUGUGCAGACGCCGACUCCAUCCCGUUUGAAGACCGGCCACUGUCCAAGCUGAAGGAGUCGGACAGGUGCUCGGCCAGUGAGAAUCU